GCUCCUGUGGCGGAAUUGGUAGACGCGCACGACUCAAAAUCGUGUAUAGAAAUAUGUCAGGGUUCGAGUCCCUGGAGGAGCA
rnacentral:tRNA from 1 species